GAUUUUUUUCUUAGUGUAUACGAGUCUUUAAAAAGAAAGGAGCAAUAUCAAUCCUCUUGAUAAAAAAAGAGAUUGGUUAUUGCUCCUUUAAUACUAAUUGAAUAGUAAUUUUGCUUACAUAAGCAUAAGUUUUUUUUGACUUCAAUUUCAUAAAAAAAUCUUAUGAAUUUAUGAUUAUGUAUUUUUUUUUACGUUUUUUAAUUUUAAUUAUAAUAUCUAGGCUCUGAACAAUUCUUUUUAUUAAUAUUUAAUAUCUAAAAAAGUAAAUCUUAGAGGG
rnacentral:misc_RNA from 1 species